UCGGGUUGUAAAGCACUUUUGUCCGGAAAGAAAACUUCGGGGCUAAUACCUCUGGAGGAUGACGGUACCGGAAGAAUAAGCACCGGCUAACUACGUGCCAGCAGCGCGGUAAUCGUAGGGUGCGAGCGUUAAUCGGAAUUACUGGGCGUAAAGCGUGCGCAGGCGGUCUGUUAAGACAGAUGUGAAAUCCCCGGGCUUAACCUGGGAACUGCAUUUGUGACUGGCAGGCUAGAGUAUGGCAGAGGGGGGUAGAAUUCCACGUGUAGCAGUGAAAUGCGUAGAGAUGUGGAGGAAUACCGAUGGCGAAGGCAGCCCCCUGGGCCAAUACUGACGCUCAUGCACGAAAGCGUGGGGAGCAAACAGGAUUAGAUACCCUGGUAGUCCACGCCCUAAACGAUGUCAACUUGUUGUUGGGGAUUCAUUUCCUUAGUAACGUAGCUAACGCGUGAAGUUGACCGCCUGGGGAGUACGGUCGCAAGAUUAAAACUCAAAGGAAUUGACGGGGACCCGCACAAGCGGUGGAUGAUGUGGAUUAAUUCGAUGCAACGCGAAAAACCUUACCUACCCUUGACAUGGUCGGAACCCUGGUG
rnacentral:rRNA from 1 species